rnacentral:rRNA from 1 species
UGGGGAAUAUUGCACAAUGGGGGAAACCCUGAUGCAGCAACGCCGCGUGAGUGAUGAAGGUUUUCGGAUCGUAAAGCUCUGUCUUUGGGGAAGAUAAUGACGGUACCCAAGGAGGAAGCCACGGCUAACUACGUGCCAGCAGCCGCGGUAAUACGUAGGUGGCGAGCGUUAUCCGGAAUUACUGGGCGUAAAGCGCACGCAGGCGGUCUGUCAAGUCGGAUGUGAAAUCCCCGGGCUCAACUUGGGUGCUGCAUUCCAAACUGGUUAUCUAGAGUGCAGGAGAGGAGAGUGGAAUUCCUAGUGUAGCGGUGAAAUGCGUAGAGAUUAGGAAGAACACCAGUGGCGAAGGCGACUCUCUGGACUGUAACUGACGCUGAGGCUCGAAAGCGUGGGGAGCAAACAGG